CCUACGGGAGGCAGCAGUGAGGAAUAUUGGUCAAUGGACGAGAGUCUGAACCAGCCAAGUAGCGUGAAGGAUGACUGCCCUAUGGGUUUUAAACUUCUUUUAUAUGGGAAUAAAAUGUUCCACGUGUGGGAUUUUGUAUGUACCAUAUGUAUAAGGAUGGGCUAACUCCGUGCCAGCAGCCGCGGUAAUACGGAGGAUCCGCGCGGUAUCCGGAUUUAUUGGGUGUAAAGGGAGCGUAGGUGGAUAGUUAAGUCAGUUGGGAAAGUUUGCGGCUCAACCGUAAAAUUGCAGUUGAAACUGGCAGUCUUGAGUACAGUAGAGGUAGGCGGAAUUCGUGGUGUAGCGGUGAAAUGCUUAGAUAUCACGAAGAACUCCGAUUGCGAAGGCAGCUCACUGGACUGCAACUGACACUGAGGCUCGAAAGUGUGGGUAUCAAACAGGAUUAGAUACCCGGGUAGUC
rnacentral:rRNA from 1 species